GGUCCCGUAGCUCAGUUGGUCAGAGCACCAGGCUUUUAACCUGGGUGUCGCGGGUUCGAAUCCCGUCGGGACCA
rnacentral:tRNA from 1 species